rnacentral:rRNA from 1 species
UGGGAAGGCCCAGACAGCCAGGAUGUUGGCUUAGAAGCAGCCAUCAUUUAAAGAAAGCGUAAUAGCUCACUGGUCGAGUCGGCCUGCGCGGAAGAUGUAACGGGGCUAAACCAUGCACCGAAGCUGCGGCAGCGACACUAUGUGUUGUUGGGUAGGGGAGCGUUCUGUAAGCCUGUGAAGGUGUACUGUGAGGUAUGCUGGAGGUAUCAGAAGUGCGAAUGCUGACAUAAGUAACGAUAAAGCGGGUGAAAAGCCCGCUCGCCGGAAGACCAAGGGUUCCUGUCCAACGUUAAUCGGGGCAGGGUGAGUCGACCCCUAAGGCGAGGCCGAAAGGCGUAGUCGAUGGGAAACAGGUUAAUAUUCCUGUACUUGGUGUUACUGCGAAGGGGGGACGGAGAAGGCUAUGUUGGCCGGGCGACGGUUGUCCCGGUUUAAGCGUGUAGGCUGGUUUUCCAGGCAAAUCCGGAAAAUCAAGGCUGAGGCGUGAUGACGAGGCACUACGGUGCUGAAGCAACAAAUGCCCUGCUUCCAGGAAAAGCCUCUAAGCAUCAGGUAACAUCAAAUCGUACCCCAAACCGACACAGGUGGUCAGGUAGAGAAUACCAAGGCGCUUGAGAGAACUCGGGUGAAGGAACUAGGCAAAAUGGUGCCGUAACUUCGGGAGAAGGCACGCUGAUAUGUAGGUGAAGCGACUUGCUCGUGGAGCUGAAAUCAGUCGAAGAUACCAGCUGGCUGCAACUGUUUAUUAAAAACACAGCACUGUGCAAACACGAAAGUGGACGUAUACGGUGUGACGCCUGCCCGGUGCCGGAAGGUUAAUUGAUGGGGUUAGCGGUAACGCGAAGCUCUUGAUCGAAGCCCCGGUAAACGGCGGCCGUAACUAUAACGGUCCUAAGGUAGCGAAAUUCCUUGUCGGGUAAGUUCCGACCUGCACGAAUGGCGUAAUGAUGGCCAGGCUGUCUCCACCCGAGACUCAGUGAAAUUGAACUCGCUGUGAAGAUGCAGUGUACCCGCGGCAAGACGGAAAGACCCCGUGAACCUUUACUAUAGCUUGACACUGAACAUUGAGCCUUGAUGUGUAGGAUAGGUGGGAGGCUUUGAAGUGUGGACGCCAGUCUGCAUGGAGCCGACCUUGAAAUACCACCCUUUAAUGUUUGAUGUUCUAACGUUGGCCCGUUAUCCGGGUUGCGGACAGUGUCUGGUGGGUAGUUUGACUGGGGCGGUCUCCUCCUAAAGAGUAACGGAGGAGCACGAAGGUUGGCUAAUCCUGGUCGGACAUCAGGAGGUUAGUGCAAUGGCAUAAGCCAGCUUGACUGCGAGCGUGACGGCGCGAGCAGGUGCGAAAGCAGGUCAUAGUGAUCCGGUGGUUCUGAAUGGAAGGGCCAUCGCUCAACGGAUAAAAGGUACUCCGGGGAUAACAGGCUGAUACCGCCCAAGAGUUCAUAUCGACGGCGGUGUUUGGCACCUCGAUGUCGGCUCAUCACAUCCUGGGGCUGAAGUAGGUCCCAAGGGUAUGGCUGUUCGCCAUUUAAAGUGGUACGCGAGCUGGGUUUAGAACGUCGUGAGACAGUUCGGUCCCUAUCUGCCGUGGGCGCUGGAGAACUGAGGGGGGCUGCUCCUAGUACGAGAGGACCGGAGUGGACGCAUCACUGGUGUUCGGGUUGUCAUGCCAAUGGCACUGCCCGGUAGCUAAAUGCGGAAGAGAUAAGUGCUGAAAGCAUCUAAGCACGAAACUUGCCCCG